AGGAAAUGCUAUUUUAGUAAAGGCCGAUAACGCAGAAGUACCCCCGCUUCGUGUAUAUAAUGAAAUUUUGAAACAAGUCUGUGAAAAGGCUGAGAAAUAAAAUACGAAGAGGGGCAGCUAGACCGAGUAGGGGUUCGAAUCUAUCUCUUCGAAAGGGUUGAACACCGUGAAGUCCACCCUUUUAGCCUAGAGGAAAUUUUUAAGCAACUUUGUGAUGAAUUAACGGAUGG
rnacentral:lncRNA from 1 species